GACGAACGCUGGCGGCGUGCCUAAUACAUGCAAGUCGAACGCUUCUUUCCUCCCGAGUGCUUGCACUCAAUUGGAAAGAGGAGUGGCGGACGGGUGAGUAACACGUGGGUAACCUACCCAUCAGAGGGGGAUAACACUUGGAAACAGGUGCUAAUACCGCAUAACAGUUUAUGCCGCAUGGCAUAAGAGUGAAAGGCGCUUUCGGGUGUCGCUGAUGGAUGGACCCGCGGUGCAUUAGCUAGUUGGUGAGGUAACGGCUCACCAAGGCCACGAUGCAUAGCCGACAUGAGAGGGUGAUCGACCACACUGGGACUGAGACACGGCCCAGACUCCUACGGGAGGCAGCAGUAGGGAAUCUUCGGCAAUGGACGAAAGUCUGACCGAGCAACGCCGCGUGAGUGAAGAAGGUGUUCGGAUCGUAAAACUCUGUUGUUAGAGAAGAACAAGGACGUUAGUAACUGAACGUCCCCUGACGGUAUCUAACCAGAAAGCCACGGCUAACUACGUG
rnacentral:rRNA from 1 species